rnacentral:tRNA from 1 species
GAGGUAAGAUGGUUCAGAGGUAAGCUGCUAACUUUCCCUCUUAGCAGUUAAAAUCUGUUAUUACCUCU